GAGUGUAUAGCUCAGUGGUAGAGCGCAUGGCUUAGCAUGCAUGAGGUCCUGCGUUCGAUCCCCAGUCCCUCCA
rfam:Camelus ferus isolate Naran unplaced genomic scaffold scaffold37970, whole genome shotgun sequence.